GGGCGUACAGCUCAGUAACACGUAGUCAACCUGCCCUCUAGUCUGGAAUAAUCCUGGGAAACUGGGGCUAACGCCGGAUAGGUGAGGAAUACUGGAAUGUUUCUUCAUUUAAAGAUACGCUAGAGGAUGGGACUGCGGUCGAUUAGGUUGUUGCCGGGGUAAAUUCCCGACAUGCCGAUAAUCGAUACGGGCCUUGAGAGAGGAAGCCCGGAGAUGGAUUCUGAGACAAAAAUCCAGGUCCUACGGGACGCAUCAGGCGCGAAAAUUCCACAAUGCGCGAAAGCGUUAUGGAGAAACCCGAAGUGGAUUCGCUAAGCGAAUCCUUUUGUCAAGUGUAAAAAGCUUGGCGAAUAAGGGGUGGGUAAGACAGGUGCCAGCCGCCGCGGUAAUACCCGCGCCCCGAGUGGUAAUCACGUUUAUUGGGUUUAAAGCGUCCGUAGCCGGUUUGUUAAGUUUCUAAUGAAAUCCUGCAGUAAACUGCAAGACUUGUUAGGAAUACUGGCAAACUUGGGACCGGGAGAGGCAAGGAGUACUGUAGGGGUAAGGGUAAAAUCUUAUAAUCCUUACAGGACUACCAGUGGCGAAGGCGCCUUGCUAGAACGGAUCCGACGGUGAGGGGCGAAAGCUAGGGGAGCAAAGGGGAUUAGAUAGAACCCUUCUUUCUAAAGAAAGAAGCCUUCUAUGGGAAGAAAAGAAUUUACGAAAUAAUAGGUUCCUAAAAACCCCCGUAGUCCUAGCUGUAAACGAUACCCACCAGACGUUGGGGGUCUUACGAGGGCUCUCAGUGUCACAGGGAAACCGCUAAGUGGGUCACCUGGGGAGUACGGCCGCAAGACUGAAACUUAAAGGAAUUGGCGGGGGAGCACACAAGGGGUGGAGGCUGCGGUUUAAUUGGAUUCAACGCCAGGAACCUUACCAGAGGCGACAGCAGGAUGAAGGUCAGGCUGAAGACUUUACCAGACAAGCUGAGAAGUAGUGCAUGGCCGUCGUCAGUUCGUGUCGUGAGAUGUCCUGUUAAGUCAGGUAACGAACAAGACCCGUGCCCUAUGUUGCAACCUUUUAAUUUGUUAAGAGGGCACUCAUAGGGGACCGCUGCCGAAAAGGCAGAGGAAGGUGCGGUCGACGGCAGGUCUGUAUGCCCUGAAUCCUCUGGGUUACACGCGGCCUACAAUGGGUAGUACAAUGAGAUGCGACUCCGAAAGGAGAAGCCAAUCUCUAAAGCUGCCCCCAGUUCAGAUCGAGGGCUGCAACUCGCCCUCGUGAAGCCGAAAUCCCUAGUAGUCGCUGUUUAGCAUACAGCGGCGAAUACGUUCCUGCUCCUUGCACACACCGCCCGUC
rnacentral:rRNA from 1 species